CUAGCCAGGGCUUUGAGGUUUGCUCAUAUCCCAGACCAGAGAUGGCUGCAGAGUGACAGUGAGAUGGACCUGCCCUGAUUCCUGGGGUUUGCACAUAACACUGGGAGGUGGCGCCUGUGUUCUGCAGCUGUGAGUCUGGAGAGAGUGACUGAGAGACUGUUUGCCAUACAGUGCUUGGAAGCAGCCUUUGAAAUUACUUCACAGACGGCCUUCAGCCAAUCUCCACGGAUUCGCCAGAUGUGCUUCAAUGGUUAAUAAGAUAGCUUUACCAACUUUGGAUAAGCAUCACAAGUUGGAUAAGUAUCACAAUUGCAUGCGACAGCAAGGCUGUGGAACUGGAUCCUGAAAAUGACGGAAUGUAGGAGAAGUAUCAAAUCCCACAGAGGACAGCAGAUGGAAGAACAGAAUGAAAAAUUAAGAAAUCCGAUAUAAACCUAAUCGUUCUGUGACAGCAAUGAUUGUUCCUGAUCUCUUGUGAUGGAGGACAGCAGAUGCAAGAACAGAAUCGAGAGUUAAGGAAUUGGAUCCGAACCCAACUGUUCAGUGACAGCAAUGAAGAUUGUUCCUGAUCUGCAGUGGUAAUUGGGUAUUUUGACUUUCCAAAUUCGCGUUGUGUGUAAUGCAUAAUGGAUUCCCAGCACAUUAUUGAAAUAGCAGAAAAUGUUGACCACGAGUCCCUCAGCUGAAUCUUCUGAAGAUGGUGUUGCUGCAGUGAAACAUUUAAACAUUUUAACUGGUUUUGGUCUUUCAAAUGCUGAUAAACCUGAGAUUCAUAACAUUUUAUCUUAUUUCUUAUUUGCUGCUGCAAGUUUUUUAAAUUCUCGUAUGAUGUUUAUUUAAGAAAGUGGCUAUAUUAAGUAGGUGAGAGAUUACUUCAUAUUGUUCAUGAGAGAAUGUUAAAGAAUGGUGAUCGUUAUCAAGUUUUUAAUCAAUGUUAGAAUGGUGAUUGUUAUCAAGUUUU